AAAUAUUUUAAAUAAAUUAACGAUAUAUUUUCUUUCGUAUUCUUGGUAUGAUAUUUCUAUGUAUAUUUUCGUUCCUUGAUAUGAUAUAUGAUUCUACCUAUUGUAAAUAAAUAAUGAUUAAUUCGUAGUUCUAAGAGAGCAGUAUUUUCGUAAACAAACACUCGACUCCCUAUCCCUUACCUCUUAUAAAGUUUUUCUUUCAGAAUAUUUUUGUAACCGCGCGCAAUGCGGUUGGUAGAGUCAGUGCUUGCUGCGUUAAAUCACAUUUAAUAUUGACUUAGAACAUAACAACUUUCAUUAAAUUUAAUUGUAAUAAUCAGACGCGAAAUUAGAGUCAGUGUGUCCGCCAAUUGUCAUUUGACUUAAACGGACGUGUUAAUAGUCUAUUACUCUUUUUUUUUUUGUUACACGUUCGUUUUCGGUAGUAGAGUCGCAGGUCUCGCAAGAGGAUAAAGCCUUUCCUGGAGCUCAAGAAUGUUUUUCAUAACUUCCAUCAUUUUUCCUCUUCUUUGGGAAGGAUGUAGUGGUGUUUCAAAUUUAUACAUGUAUGCCACUUCUUCCCCUUCUUCCAGUUGCCUGGAAAAUACCUAGUGGUGUUUCAAAAGCCAAAAAUGUAAGUAACUACUUAUUUUGUAUUUUAUUUAAGUCGAUUUUUUAUAUCUCAUGAUAAUUAUUAUUAAU